rnacentral:misc_RNA from 1 species
CCUUGAGCGUAUUAUGGGUUUCCUGUGUUGAAUUCCAAUUUCCUGGUAUUGUUUUGGCUGAUUGAAGUCCCUUUUCAUGUUGUCGCUUUUGUGAUUCAAUAUGAACUAUGAAGUGGUCUCUAUGUUCCACUAUGUUGAUGCUGAUGCGUUGAUGCUAUGGCCCAUAGAGCUAUGCUCUAGGUAUCCUAGAUACGGAAAAUUUUGUGGGCGUGGAGUCCUCUAAUGGCUCUUGUUUUUCCCUCGUUUUGCAUUCUUCGAAACGACAAGUCAUGCACGCCUAGGCUCGUACCUGCGUGAUGAUUUUUGUCAAAGAAGAAUGUUACCUGGUUGAUCCUGCCAGUA